rnacentral:rRNA from 1 species
CCUACGGGAGGCAGCAGUGAGGAAUAUUGGUCAAUGGACGAGAGUCUGAACCAGCCAAGUAGCGUGAAGGAUGACUGCCCUAUGGGUUGUAAACUUCUUUUAUAUGGGAAUAAAACGUUCCACGUGUGGGAUUUUGUAUGUACCAUAUGAAUAAGGAUCGGCUAAUUCCGUACCAGCAGCCGCGGUAAUACGGAGGAUCCGAGCGUUAUCCGGAUUUAUUGGGUUUAAAGGGAGCGUAGGUGGAUUGUUAAGUCAGUUGUGAAAGUUUGCGGCUCAACCGUAAAAUUGCAGUUGAAACUGGCAGUCUUGAGUACAGUAGAGGUGGGCGGAAUUCGUGGUGUAGCGGUGAAAUGCUUAGAUAUCACGAAGAACUCCGAUUGCGAAGGCAGUUCACUGGACUGCAACUGACACUGAGGCUCGAAAGUGUGGGUAUCAAACAGGAUUAGAUACCCUAGUAGUC